UACGUAGGGAGCAAGCGUUGUCCGGAAUCAUUGGGCGUAAAGCGCGCGUAGGUGGCUUCGUAAGUCCGUUGUGAAAGUCAAAGGCUCAACCUUUGAAAGCCGAUGGAUACUGCGGAGCUAGAGUACGGAAGAGGCGAGUGGAAUUCCUGGUGUAGCGGUGGAAUGCGCAGAUAUCAGGAGGAACACCAAUAGCGAAGGCAGGUCUCUGGGCCACUACUGACGCUGUGAAGCGAAAGCAUGGGGAGCGAACAGG
rnacentral:rRNA from 1 species